GCGGCGACGUGGAGCAAAACCCUAAAAGCAGUCUCAGUUCGGAUCGCAGGCUGCAACUCGCCUGCGUGAAGUUGGAAUUGCUAGUAAUCGCGGAUCAGCAUGCCGCGGUGAAUACGUUCCCGGGCCUUGUACACACCGCCCGUCACACCAUGGGAGGUUGGGGGCGCCCGAAGCCACUUAGCUAACCCUUUUGGGAAGCGAGUGUCGAAGGUGAAAUCAAUAACUGGGGUGAAGUCGUAACAAGGUAGC
rnacentral:rRNA from 1 species